CCAGACUCCUACGGGAGGCAGCAGUGAGGAAUAUUGGUCAAUGGUCGGGAGACUGAACCAGCCAAGUCGCGUGAGGGAAUAAGGCCCUACGGGUCGUAAACCUCUUUUGCCGGGGAGCAAGGGCGGGGACGUGUCCCGGCCCGGAGAGUACCCGGAGAAAAAGCAUCGGCUAACUCCGUGCCAGCAGCCGCGGUAAUACGGAGGAUGCGAGCGUUAUCCGGAUUUAUUGGGUUUAAAGGGUGCGUAGGCGGGCUUUUAAGUCAGCGGUAAAAAUUCGGGGCUCAACCCCGUCCGGCCGUUGAAACUGGCGUUCUUGAGUGGGCGAGAAGUAUGCGGAAUGCGUGGUGUAGCGGUGAAAUGCAUAGAUAUCACGCAGAACUCCGAUUGCGAAGGCAGCAUACCGGCGCCCAACUGACGCUGAAGCACGAAAGCGUGGGUAUCGAACAGGAUUAGAUACCCCUGUAAG
rnacentral:rRNA from 1 species